UUUAAUUCAAAUAAUUCAUCUAGAUGGAUCAUCUAAAUGAAUUUAUGUUGGUUUGUUCAUCUCUAUUUUCAUCUAUAUGAGUUUAGUAAGCAAAUGACUUAUAUACCAUUGUUUUGUUUUAAUCAUAUUUUAUAGGUGUGGGCAUUUAAGUUAUUUUCUCGGUUCGGUUUGGAUUCGGUUCGGUUUGGUUAGUUCGGUUCUAGUAUUUUUUCAACUGAAAUAAACCAUAGUUAGUUUGGUUUGGUUUGGUUCGAUUCGAUUUGUGUUCGGUUCAGUUUUUAUUUGGUUCGGUUCAGUUUGUUUUUUUGGAUCAGUUUAAUUAGGUUCUUCUUAGUUUAAUUUUUUAAAGAGAAAUUAUUCUUUAAAACAUAAAUUAUGUAAACAUAAACUACGUAAACUAAAUUUAAAAACUGAAACAAAAACUUUUAAAAAGUCACAAAAAAUAUAAGAAUUAAAACAAAUGAAAGUUAACUACAAUAAAAAAACAACAUCAUUAGUAAUGUCUCUUAUCUUCAUUAUUAAAAAGACUGCAAUGAAUCUUCUUCCAUGUGACGCUUUAGAGAUUUUUUUUUUGUUUUAAUAAAAUUUGCUUUAGACUUAGAUUUAACAUUCACGUUUACAUAUAUAAGAAUAUAAAAAUAAAUUUUCUAUCUUUUUUUAAUCAAUUUAAUUUAUGAUUACAUAUUAGGUUAGAAGACCAUAUGUUAAUGAAUGAAAAAUGGAAAAUAUGUGGUUUGGUAUUAGAAUUUUAGUAUAUUGGUAUUACUAAUAUUUUAAAUUUAAAUAAUUACAAAAAUACAUCGGUUUUUCGGUUUGGUUAGGUUUAAAACCAAACCGAACCGAACCAUUCGGUUUGGGAAAAUAUUCAACCGAAUGGUUUGAAAUAAACUUUGGUUCGGUUGAAAUUGGUUUCCGUUUGGUUGGUUCGGUUUUUUUGCCCACUUCUAAUAUUUUAUCUUUAUUAAACUAGAUUAAUUUUUAUUAAUUAAUCAAAAUAUAAUUAUUUUAAAAUAUGGAUUUGGCGGGAAAUAAAUUUGGAUUUAGAAAAAAAUGUUAUUUUGGUGAGAACAUAAAUUUUGUAGUUUUGCCAAAAAUGUGGGUUUUGCAUUUUUGGUGAGAAAUACGUUUUUGCGGGGUUUGAGGGAAAAUGUGUUGUUGCAGUUUUGGCAAAAAAUACAUUUUAUGGUUAUGGCGGGAAAAUGCGUUUUUGAAAAAAAUACAUUUUGCAGUUUUGCAGAAAAAUAUUAUUCGCGGUUUUGACAGAAAAAAGAGUUUUUGCGUUUUUGCGGAAAAAUAUAUUUUUGGGAGAAAAUACAUUUAGCAGUUUUUGUGGGAAAAAGGUUUUCGCGGUUUUAGGUUGUAGAUGAUUGAUUAUUUACUAAUUCUCACCAAAAACAUAAAACAAAUAUCAAACUUGAAAAAGUAAUUGUUAACCUUUUCUAUUAUUUUCUUAACUGUUUUUUUUUUCUGAAAAAGGUAAAACACUUUAUAUAUUCAUGUUGGAUUUCUUAAAAAUUGUUUAAUCUAAUAAUCACCCUUUAACAAUUUUAGAUGCCAUUUUAGAUUUUAUUAAAUUAUGAGAAAAUGUUUAUUAAUUGAUUCAUUUCAUGAAUUUGAUUAAUAAGAUUUUUAAACUGACUGAUUUUUAUCAUGAAUUGUUUUUGUUUUGAAAAUUAUAGUAAUUUUAAAGUUAAUUUUAUUUAUAUAUCGCUAUUAAAAUAUUUUAAUUUAUAAGUUUUCUGGAAAAUUAUUUUAUGUUACAAAAUAUAUUAAGUUAGAAAAUAUUUUAUAAAAAUAAAUUAAGCCGUAGAAAAAUAUUUUAAAAUGAAAAAUUAGUAUAUAGAAAUAUUUUUGGUAAUUACUAAACAAUAUUUUGAUCCCGGUAAGAAAAGAUUCGGCUCCGCCACUGCAUACAGAGGACACAAAAGAUUAACCAAAGAAAAAACAGACUGAAUCCAAACACAUCUGCAGAGACCCCCGUCGAGCAAAGCGUCUUAACUUCUGAAAAUUCAAUGAAAAAUACUUAUUGAAAAUGUCCACGGCCAAACCACCAGUAAACCAUUUUCUCCUUGAAUGGAAACACCUCAGAAACCCAAGCAACCAAAACUUCAUAUUGUGGCAAGAAAGGAUCUAAGAAAACCCUAACCAAACAUAUUGUAAUUGUAACAUCCCGGACCCGGCCCAAAAGGGAACUCAAGUGCAGGAGGCCCAAGAAGAAGAAACCCUAGACAUAACCCCUCCCAUUGCUUAUAAAAGGAGAAGUUCCCCUAGGGUUCAGCCACAAGAGAGACAGCAAGCGAAGCCCUGCCCGAGCAGAACCCCGCCGCCGCCUCCGCCUCAAGCGGCCGCCGCUCCGUCUCCGGCGAAGCCAGCCGCCAGCCGCCCGCGAAGCCCUAGCCGCCGCGACCGAGCCCCUAGCCGCCGCCUCCGUGAUUCAGUUUCGUGCAAGCAACUGAGAUCUGAACCCUAAAGAUCUCGAGAAGUGACUGUUUCCCCAAACCUAGAUCCAGAUCUACUUCUGCAAAAAGCCAAGGUACGGCCGAGAGGGAGCGGGAGUAGAUGUCCGUAUGGUGCAAGUGUUUUCUCGAGUCUUUCAUUUUGGGACUCUUUUCUUUCAACCAUUUCUUCUUAAGUUUUAUUCGACAUUCAGUUUUUAGUUGAGUUCGGUUUUAUGUAAGACAGUUUGAGUUUUAAUAAGAGCUUUUGAACGAAAA